rnacentral:rRNA from 1 species
UCUACGGGCGGCAGCAGUGAGGAAUAUUGGUCAAUGGACGAGAGUCUGAACCAGCCAAGUAGCGUGAAGGAUGACUGCCCUAUGGGUUGUAAACCUCUUUUAUAAAGGAAUAAAGCGAGGCACGUGUGCCCUUUUGCGUGUACCUUAUGAAUAAGGAUCGGCUAACUCCGUGCCAGCAGCCGCGGUAAUACGGAGGAUGCGAGCGUUGUCCGGAUUUAUUGGGUUUAAAGGGUGCGUAGAUGGGUUGUUAAGUCAGUUGUGAAAGUCUGGGGCUCAACCGUAAAGUUGCAAUUGAUACUGGCAGUCUUGAGUACGGGUGAGGUAGGCGGAAUUCGUGGUGUAGCGGUGAAAUGCAUAGAUAUCACGAAGAACCCCGAUUGCGAAGGCAGCUUGCUAAACUGUGACUGACAUUGAUGCACGAAAGUGUGGGUAUCAAACAGGAUUAGAUACCCGUGUAGUC